ensembl:lncRNA
GUCUCAAAGCAGCUUUACAGAAAUAUCAACAUGGUAUACAGAUAUUAAAGGAGUGAAUUUAUCCCAACUGAGCAAGCCACUGAGUGGCGACGGUGGCAAGGAAAAACUCCCUAAGAUGUUUUAAGAGGAAGAAACCUCGAGAGGAACCCGACUCAGAAGGGAACCCGUCCUCAUCUGGGUAACAACAGAUAUUGUGAAAAAGUUCAUUAUGGAUUUAUAUGAAGUCUGUAUGGCGUUAGGAGCAGCCGUAGUCCCAGCAGUCUGGAAUUAGAGAAGAUUUGAGCUCCAUCCAGAGGCAGAAAGGAUCUGGAUCUCUAGUAUCUCCAUAAAUUCGUGUGGGGCUCGGCGAAAGGAGAGAGGGAGAAAAAAGAUAAUUAUGACUGCGAAGUAGUAGAACAGAAUCUAGUCAGGGUAGGCUUGAGUAAACAAAUAUGUUUUAAGCCUAGACUUAAACACUGAGACUGUGUUUGAGUCCCGAACACUAAUAGGAAGACUGUUCCAUAACUGUGGGGCUCUAUAAGAGAAAGCUCUUCCCCCUGCUGUAGCCUUCACUAUUCGAGUUACCGUCAGAUAGCCUGCAUCUUUUGAUCUAAGUAGGCGUGGCGGAUCAUAUAAAACCAAAAGGUCGCUUAGAUAUUGUGGCGCGAGACCGUUUAGUGCUUUAUAGGUUAAUAAAAGUAUUUUAUAAUUAAUGCGAGAUUUCACUGGGAGCCAAUGCAGUAUCGAUAAUAUCGGUGUGAUAUGGUCGUAUCUUCUAGUUCUAGUUAGGACUCUAGCAGCUGCAUUCUGGACUAACUGGAGCUUAUUUAUAUUCCUACUGGAACAUCCAGACAGUACGGCAUUACAGUAAUCUAAUCUAGAGGUGACGAAAGCAUGAACUAGUAUUUCCGCAUCAUGUAGUGACAAUAUGUUUCUUAUUUUAGAAAUAUUUCUGAGAUGAAAGAAGGCUAUCCUAGUAAUAUUAUCUACAUGAGCAUCAAAUGAUAGACUGGAGUCAAUAAUCACUCCAAG